rnacentral:misc_RNA from 1 species
GAACGCACAUUGCGCCCGCCAGUAUUCUGGCGGGCAUGCCUGUCCGAGCGUCAUUUCAACCAUCAAGCCCCGGGCUUGUGUUGGGGCCCUGCGGCUGCCGCAGGCCCUAAAAACCAGUGGCGGGCUCGCUAGUCACUCCGAGCGUAGUAGUUUACACCUCGCUCAGGGCGUGCUGCGGGUUCCGGCCGUUAAAAGCCUUAUUUUACCCAAGGUUGACCUCGGAUCAGGUAGGAAGACCCGCUGAACUUAAG